GACGAACGCUGGCGGCGUGCUUAACACAUGCAAGUCGAACGGAAAGGCCCUGCUUUUGUGGGGUGCUCGAGUGGCGAACGGGUGAGUAACACGUGAGUAACCUGCCCUUGACUUUGGGAUAACUUCAGGAAACUGGGGCUAAUACCGGAUAGGAGCUCCUGCUGCAUGGUGGGGGUUGGAAAGUUUCGGCGGUUGGGGAUGGACUCGCGGCUUAUCAGCUUGUUGGUGGGGUAGUGGCUUACCAAGGCUUUGACGGGUAGCCGGCCUGAGAGGGUGACCGGCCACAUUGGGACUGAGAUACGGCCCAGACUCAUACGGGAGGCAGCAGUGGGGAAUAUUGCACAAUGGGCGGAAGCCUGAUGCAGCAACGCCGCGUGCGGGAUGAUGGCCUUCGGGUUGUAAACCGCUUUCGCCUGUGACGAAGCGUGAGUGACGGUAAUGGGUAAAGAAGCACCGGCUAACUACGUG
rnacentral:rRNA from 1 species